GGCUGGUCUGAAGGGAGCCAGUUAUCUCAGUUGAUUGUUCAGUCAGUUACAGAUUAAACUCCUUGUUCUACUCUUUCCCCCCUUUUCACUACUGCACUUGACUAGCUAAAA
ensembl:Y_RNA Y_RNA Y RNA